rnacentral:ncRNA from 1 species
GAGAGCACAGUACGAUGAAAGUUGUAAGCUGUGUUCGGGGGGGAGUUAUUGUCUAUCGUUGGCCUCUAUGGUAGAACCCGUCGGGGAGGCCUGAGAGGCGGUGGGUUACCCUGC